rnacentral:rRNA from 1 species
GGACGAACGCUGGCGGCGUGCCUAAUACAUGCAAGUCGAGCGGAUCUUGUCCUUCGGGACAAGGUUAGCGGCGGACGGGUGAGUAACACGUAGGCAACCUGCCCUCAAGACUGGGAUAACCUCCGGAAACGGAUGCUAAUACCGGAUGUGCGGUCUCUCCUCCUGGAGGGAUCGGGAAAGACGGAGCAAUCUGUCACUUGGGGAUGGGCCUGCGGCGCAUUAGCUAGUUGGUGGGGUAACGGCUCACCAAGGCGACGAUGCGUAGCCGACCUGAGAGGGUGAUCGGCCACACUGGGACUGAGACACGGCCC